rnacentral:rRNA from 1 species
UACGUAGGGGGCAAGCGUUGUCCGGAUUUAUUGGGCGUAAAGAGCUCGUAGGCGGUUUGGUAAGUCUGGUGUGAAAUCUCCACGCUCAACGUGGAGGGGCCACCCGAUACUGCCAUGACUGGAGUCCGGUAGAGGAGUGUGGAAUUCCCGGUGUAGCGGUGAAAUGCGCAGAUAUCAGGAGGAACACCAAUGGCGAAGGCAGAUCUCUGGGCCGUAACUGACGCUGAGGAGCGAAAGCAUGGGGAGCGAACAGG